rnacentral:rRNA from 1 species
GACAGAGGUGCCGAGCGUUAGGCGGAAUCACUGGGCUUAAAGCGUGUGUAGGCGGAUGGGUAAGUACCUUGUGAAAUCCCACGGCUCAACCGUGGAACUGCUCGGUAUACUGCCUCGUCUUGAGCCAACUAGGGGCGACCGGAACAAACGGUGGAGCGGUGAAAUGCGUAGAUAUCGUUUGGAACGCCGAUGGUGAAAACAGGUCGCUGGGGUUGUGCUGACGCUGAGACACGAAAGCCAGGGGAGCGAACGGG